GGACUACACGGGUAUCUAAUCCCGUUUGCUCCCCUGGCUUUCGCGCCUCAGCGUCAGUAGUGGUCCAGCACGUCGCUUUCGCCACCGGCGUUCCUUCCGAUAUCAACGCAUUUCACCGCUCCACCGGAAGUUCCACAUGCCCCUACCACCCUCCAGACCACCAGUAUCCAAGGCUAUUUUCCGGUUGAGCCGAAAGAUUUCACCCCGGACUUGGUGGCCCGCCUACGCGCCCUUUAAGCCCAGUGAUUCCGAACAACGUUAGGACGGUUCGUCUUACCGCGGCUGCUGGCAC
rnacentral:rRNA from 1 species